rnacentral:lncRNA from 1 species
GGAUUUAGCUCAGUGGUUCCGCCACCUGCCUUGCAAGCGGGAAGUCCCAAGUUCAAUCCUCAGUACCAAAAUAAAAUUAUUACAGUAAAAGACACAUUCCAUUAAUGUCCCUCAAAAUAUGCUUCCUUGGGCCAGGGAUUUAGCUCAAAGUGGUUUUGCCGCCUGCUGCGCAAGCGCAAGGACCCAAGUUCAAUCCCCGGUACCAAGAAAAAAAAAAAUAAAGACACCCACGAAAGAGGACUCCAGAGCUGCUCCGGGAGGUGCAGUGACGCCUUUGGGGACUGGCCAGUGACAAGAGCCCAGAGGAGCAGCAGAAGCCUCGGAAGCCUCUCCCACGACCUCCUUCCUUGCUUCCUGUGCAAAGCUUUGUAUUUUGGGGGCACGGCCUCGCUUCUGUGUGGCCCACCAAGUGCGCUGGCUGUGCCCCCGGCAGCAGGUGCCACAGUCGGAAGAUGCACACCGGAGGGCAGCCGCACCCCUGGGUCCCCAGAGUGGCCUUAGUACUUGGGACCCCAGGGUCUUGUUCAAGUCCCCAAAAUGAACUGAAGUGCCAACUUGAGAGUGGAGAUAUAAAUAAUAAUAAUGUUAACAAUAAUAGUGGCCCCUUGGCGGAGGAGUCGGCCUGUGCCACGUGGACAUAAGUGCUUUAGGGACAUUGUGCGGGAUGGCAACAUCCGAGCUGGAGGUGCCAGCCUCGAAGAGGGGCAGAGGCGCCCAGGCCCCUGCGUCCUGAGGGUUUGAGCAGCAAAGCAUUAAGCAGGCUGGUGCCCCCGAGGGCGAGACGGGUUCGGCUGCAGGGACUCGGAGAGUGUGUGUGACUCAUUCAGGGCACAGGCUCAGUCCCGGGCCAGCUUCGGUGAUUAACGCUGCUGUAGACAAGGCGGGGUCUCUGCAGCCACCUGGGGAGCAGGGAGCUGCCCGAGCAAGAGCCAGAAGUCCACUGCGGCUCUCUAGCCGGAAGUCCCGCCUCAGCCUGGGGUCAGGGUGUCCAAAGCCCUGCGGGGUCUGCAUGCCAGGCUCCCGUACGCUGCUCGAGGCAGGCAGCCCCACCAGGCUCUGCUGCCCAUCGGCGAGGCUGGACUUCUCAGUCUCAGGCUCCAUGGCUUUUAGCCCUGUGUCCUUGGUUACUAGGAGAGUAGAUUGUUGGUGUCUUUCCUCAUGUUGCUUUUUGACCUGGAAUGUGUGAGAGCGAGACAGUGAGUACACGCCCUGCGUGGCCGCUGUCCUGUCUGUGUGACCAAUAAACUGUGCCUUUCCCA